rnacentral:siRNA from 1 species
UUUAGCGCAAAAACCACAUGA